CUCGAGUAAGCUCAGCAGCAUAAUUUUGGCAAAGAUUGAGAAAGUCAUCUUCGGUCUUGUUUUCCUGUUGAAAUGUUAUGUCAUCUGUUUGUGUUACUUCUAUGGAAUUAUCACAUGAGACACACACACGCAUAGAGAGAGAGAGAGAGAGAGACUUGUCCAAAAUGAUCGCAAAGGGGACGAUGACAAUAGUGGCAACGGCAUGGCGGUACACAACAAAUACAUAAUUGCUCAUCCCCUCAUUCAAUGCUACCUUGGAAAGGAUAUCCAUCCCUGCAAACCCAAAUUGCAAGAGAAUGACACCAAUGAAAGGCUUCAUCCUCUGAUACAGCUUACCCAUAGUUACACACUGCUCUCUUAACUACUCAACGCUCGUGAAAUUUUGAAAUGGAAAUUUAAUGAGCUCAGUGUUCAUAUUUGUAGUUGUUUCGUUUUCCUGUUUUGUGCAACAAUGUUGUAGUAGUCAGAUUCAGAUAUCUUCAACAUGCUUUAUAGCAGGGGAGUCCACUAACAAAUAAAAAGUCAAUUAUUGCUUAAAAGGCCCUGUCACCAAACAUCAACAGGAGACAUCUUUCUUCGCGCAAACCUAUUGGAUUGAUGUCUAGGGUACAUCGGUUUCAUCUCCAUAUGCAGCUACAGAGGUCUUGUGGUCUUGAGCAAAAGGAAUUUCUGUGUUAGCCCACAGAACUUGGCAAGUUUCUGUUGGGAAGAUACGUCCAUGUAUAUAUGUAUGCGUAGACAUCAUUUGCAUCAUUGCCAUUGUCGAAGGUGACGUUGCAUUGUUUAACUGAUAAAUCCCACUUGAACAACUUCUUUCCGGUGCUUUAACAUUAUUAGUUUAUGGGCUAGGCUGUGUCAUGGCACUAGGCACUAUGCAUUGUGUACCAUGUACUUGGCACUCAAAUCCCACUAAUCCAUACUUUACACU